AGAGUUUGAUCCUGGCUCAGAUUGAACGCUGGCGGCAUGCCUAACACAUGCAAGUCGAACGAGGGUAGCAAUACUCUAGUGGCGGACGGGUGAGGAAUACAUAGGAAUUUGCCCUUAAGUGGGGGAUAACCCGGGGAAACCCGGAUUAAUACCGCAUGAUCUCGAGAGAGCAAAGCAGGGGACCGCAAGGCCUUGCGCUUUUGGAGAAGCCUAUGUCGGAUUAGCUUGUUGGUGAGGUAAUGGCUCACCAAGGCCGCGAUCCGUAACUGGUCUGAGAGGAUGAUCAGUCACACCGGAACUGAGACACGGUCCGGACUCCUACGGGAGGCAGCAGUGGGGAAUAUUGGACAAUGGGCGAAAGCCUGAUCCAGCAAUGCCGCGUGUGUGAAGAAGGCCUUCGGGUUGUAAAGCACUUUAGGCUGGAAAGAAAAAACUUUCUCUAAUACAGGAAGUCUUGACGGUACCAGCAGAAUAAGCACCGGCUAACUCUGUGCCAGCAGCCGCGGUAAUACAGAGGGUGCAAGCGUUAAUCGGAUUUACUGGGCGUAAAGCGUGCGUAGGUGGCUAUUUAAGUCGGAUGUGAAAGCCCUGGGCUUAACCUGGGAACUGCAUUCGAUACUGGGUGGCUAGAGAUCGGUAGAGGGCAGCGGAAUUCCGGGUGUAGCGGUGAAAUGCGUAGAUAUCCGGAGGAACACCGAUGGCGAAGGCAACUGCCUGGGCCUGAUCU
rnacentral:rRNA from 1 species